rnacentral:misc_RNA from 1 species
UUUUCGUAGGUGAACCUGCGGAAGGAUCAUUAUUGGAUUUUGAAACUUCAGGCUGCUGCUGGCUCUCCUCGGAGGGCAUGUGCACGCUUGUUGUCCAUUAUUUCUCCCACUGUGCACAAAUUGUAGACCUUUCAGUAGGCCUAUGUUGUUUUUCACAAUCUCUGAAUGUAAUAGAAUGGUUUUGAAUCUUGGGAAAUACAAUACAACUUUCAGCGACGGAUCUCUUGGCUCUCGCAUCGAUGAAGAACGCAC